UACGUAGGUGACCAGCGUUGUCCGGAUUUACUGGGCGUAAAGAGCGCGCAGGCGGUCGUUCAAGUCGAGUGUGAAAGCCCCCGGCUCAACUGGGGAGGGUCACUCGAUACUGAUCGACUUGAAGGCAGGAGAGGGAAGCGGAAUUCCCGGUGUAGUGGUGAAAUGCGUAGAUAUCGGGAGGAACACCAGUGGCGAAGGCGGCUUCCUGGCCCGGUACUGACGCUGAGGUGCGAAAGCGUGGGGAGCAAACAGG
rnacentral:rRNA from 1 species